rnacentral:lncRNA from 1 species
AGGUUCCCUGCUGUCUUAUGGCUGUCCUUGAACCAAUUAUGGGGAGCCUAAAGAUUCUUGGAAUAACAGUUUGAAAACCACAAGUGGAGUCCUAUUCUUUGGGUUUAUGAACAAGGAAUCUGUGACCCAAGCCAGUGUUAAGUGAACUGGUUCCCUGGAUUAAGGAUUGCACCUGGCCAGUCUAAGAACAUGAUAAUUUCAAGGAACAAUAUUAUGUGAUUUCUAUCUACAGUGCCUUGAAGCAAAAGAAUUAAAGUCAUGAACUCUUG